rnacentral:lncRNA from 1 species
UUUAGUUAAACUUUUUAAAUUAAUUUUAUUUAAGUUGAUUUUAAUUAGGUUAAUAUUAAUUAGACAAGUUUAAUUUAGAUUAUUUUUUUAAGGUUUUUUUAAUUAGAUUAAUCUUAUUUUUUAUCAUUAAAAAUACAAAAAAUAAAAAAUUCUUAGGUCAUUGUAUAAUUUUGAUUAAUUAACUUAGUUGUAUUAAGUUUUAAUUUAGAUUAUUUAUUUUAGUUAUAAAAAUAUAAAACUACAAAAAUAC